UUCUUCUCGUCUGUCGCCAUGUGAGAUGUACCUUUCACUUUCCUCCAUGAUUGUGAGGCCUCCUUAGCCACAUGGAACUGAAAUGCUGGAGUCCUUCAUCCGAAUGAAUGGCAAGGAUUGAAGACCGAAAAAAAUCAAGCGUUGAGGAGAGUGACAAAUGGGGAGACAGCCGUGGUGCAUGAUCGCCGAAUAAAUACCAUGUGAGGAUACAGCAAGAAGGUGGCCAUCUACAAGCCAAGGAGACAGGCCUCAGAAGAAACCAACCCUUCUUACACCCUGGACUCAGACUUCUAAUCUCCAGAACUUGUUAAUGCACAAGGUCUUGUGUUGAAAAUGUAGAGCCACGAGAUAAAAGCAGCUUGGAUGGCUGACUCAUAUACAAGGACAACUGCCUGAGAGUCACCAGGGCUAUCAAGAAGUUUGCAGAAACAAGAAAUAAACUUUUACUGUUUUAAACUUUUGUGAAUUUUGGGUUUUGUUUAUCACCAAAUAAACCUAGUCUAUUCUGAUUGUUAUAAGUGGUUAAUUUGGGAAGUCAGAUAUAUUUAAAAUUGGCUUACUGCUGUAACAUAUACAGUCCAAAUUACAUAAUGGCUCAAAUGCAAUAGAAGUCUUUUUUUUUUUUGCUCACAUAUCACUUCACUGAGAUUCUGCAUUAAUUGUAAUGAUGAGGGUGAGGGUGUCUUAUAUCAUACAGUUGUUCAGCAACCCAGGAUGACCAACUUUGUAAUAUUUUUUCCCACUGGCUUCUAAAGUUCUCAUAGAUAGUAAAAUUCAUUUGGAAGAAGGAGAAACAGCAUGGAGGAUUGCAGAUGGAGAUUUUUAUGGGAAGGCUUGGAGGUUUGGAGGUUACACAUUACUACUUUUACUUGUUGGCUAGGAAACUAUCACGUGGUCACACCUAAGUGCCAGUGAGUCUGACAAUGUGGCAAUUUGGUUGCGGGCCAGGGGUAAGAGGCAAUAAAUUUUGCUCAAUAAUUAUCAGUUUUUGCCACAGAUGGAGGGACUUUUCAUUGUAUAACUAGUUGUUACUGUUUGAAUUUAAAACAGGAAAAUAUCAUUUUCAAAUAAAAACACAAAAGUGGCACAAAAAA
rnacentral:lncRNA from 1 species